UUGUAGCCUGCUAUGGUAUAACUUAGUGGCAGACGGGUGAGUAAUGUAUAGGAAUCUACCUAGUAGUACGGAAUAAUUGCUGGAAACGGCAACUAAUACCGUCUACGCCCUACGUGGGAAAAAUUUAUUGCUAUUAGAUGAGCCUAUAUUAGAUUAGCUAGUUGGUGGAGUAAUAGCCUACCAAGGCAAUGAUCUAUAGCUGAUCUGAGAGGAUGAUCAGCCACACUGGAACUGAGAUACGGUCCAGACUUCUACGGGAGGCAGCAGUGGGGAAUAUUGGACAAUGGGCGAAAGCCUGAUCCAGCCAUGUCGCAUGAGUGAAGAAGGCCUUUGGGUUGUAAAGCCCUUUUAGUGAGGAAGAUAAUGACGGUACUCACAGAAGAAGUCCUGGCUAACUCCGUGCCAGCAGCCGCGGUAAUACGGAGAGGGCUAGCGUUAUUCGGAAUUAUUGGGCGUAAAGGGCGCGUAGGCUGAUUAAUAAGUUAAAAGUGAAAUCCCAAGGCUUAACCUUGGAAUUGCUUUUAAAACUAUUAAUCUAGAGAUUGAAAGAGGAUAGAGGAAUUCCUGAUGUAGAGGUAAAAUUCGUAAAUAUUAGGAGGAACACCAGUGGCGAAGGCGUCUAUCUGGUUCAAAUCUGACGCUGAGGCGCGAAGGCGUGGGGAGCAAACAGGAUUAGAUACCCUGGUAGUCCACGCUGUAAACGAUGAAUGUUAAAUAUGGGAAGUUUACUUUCUGUAUUACAGCUAACGCGUUAAACAUUCCGCCUGGGGACUACGGUCGCAAGAUUAAAACUCAAAGGAAUUGACGGGGACCCGCACAAGCGGUGGAGCAUGUGGUUUAAUUCGAUGCAACGCGAAAAACCUUACCACUCCUUGACAUGUAAUAAAUCAUAACCUAUUC
rnacentral:rRNA from 1 species